rnacentral:rRNA from 1 species
UACGUAGGGGGCAAGCGUUGUCCGGAAUCAUUGGGCGUAAAGAGCGUGUAGGCGGCCCGGUAAGUCCGCUGUGAAAGUCCAGGGCUCAACCCUGGGAUGCCGGUGGAUACUGUCGGGCUCGAGUCCGGAAGAGGAGUGUGGAAUUCCCGGUGUAGCGGUGAAAUGCGCAGAUAUCGGGAGGAACACCAAUGGCGAAGGCAGCUCGCUGGGACGUGACUGACGCUGAGACGCGAAAGCGUGGGGAGCAAACAGG